rnacentral:rRNA from 1 species
CCGGCGACCGGCGCACGGUGAGUAACACGUAUGCGACCUGCCCCCGCAGGGGAUAACCGGGAGAAAUCCCGACUAAUACCGCGUAACGCCGCGGACCUGCAUGGGUCUGCGGCCAAAGGAAGCGAUUCCGGCGGGGGAUGGGCAUGCGGCGCAUUAGCUAGUCGGCGGGGUAACGGCCCACCGAGGCGACGAUGCGUAGGGGUUCUGAGAGGAAGGUCCCCCACACUGGUACUGAGACACGGACCAGACUCCUACGGAAGGCAGCAG